GGGUGCUGACGAGUGGCGAACGGGUGAGUAAUGCAUCGGAACGUGCCCAGAGGUGGGGGAUAACGCAGCGAAAGCUGUGCUAAUACCGCAUGUGAUCUGAGGAUGAAAGCGGGGGACCAAGCAGCAAUGUUUGGCCUCGCGCCUCUGGAGCGGCCGAUGUCAGAUUAGGUAGUUGGUGGGGUAAAGGCCUGCCAAGCCGACGAUCUGUAGCUGGUCUGAGAGGACGACCAGCCACACUGGGACUGAGACACGGCCCAGACUCCUACGGGAGGCAGCAGUGGGGAAUUUUGGACAAUGGGCGCAAGCCUGAUCCAGCAAUGCCGCGUGCGGGAAGAAGGCCUUCGGGUUGUAAACCGCUUUUGUACGGAACGAAAAGGCUCUGGCUAAUACCUGGGGCUGAUGACGGUACCGUAAGAAUAAGCACCGGCUAACUACGUGCCAGCAGCCGCGGUAAUACGUAGGGUGCGAGCGUUAAUCGGAAUUACUGGGCGUAAAGCGUGCGCAGGCGGUCUUGUAAGACAGAGGUGAAAUCCCUGGGCUCAACCUAGGAAUGGCCUUUGUGACUGCAAGGCUGGAGUGCGGCAGAGGGGGAUGGAUUCCGCGUGUAGCAGUGAAAUGCGUAGAUAUGCGGAGGAACACCGAUGGCGAA
rnacentral:rRNA from 1 species